CGUAUAUUGACAAUGUAAUUUAUUUAUAUUUGUUUACACCCUUGAAGAUUUAAAAUGAGACAACAUUAUGUUAGUAAUGAAUAGUUAUAAGUUCUAUAGCGAUUUACUCCCUUACUUCAAUAUAGGUAUUUUGUUGUAAAAACAUUAAUGCCAAUAUAAUAUAACGAGGACUAAAAACUAAUCAGUUGUAGUUGUCGCUACAACAUAAUCAUAAUUUACAUAUUCCUGUAAUGGAUAAACAUUUUAGAUUUUAAUGGGAUUUUUGUCUCAUUUUAUUAUAAAUCUUCAAGGGUGUAAACAGCCCCUCACAAACGUAAUUAGCGCUUUUACAUUUUUGUAUAUUUUUUUGUCGUUAAGUCGGCGUUUUAAAUGUGCAAAGGUGUAAAAAGAUAAAACCGGGAAAUUAAUAUAACGACGGUUUGUUACCUAUCCAUUAUUAUUAGUCAUAUAUGUUUUUAAUUUAAGUUGUGGUUUAUUCAUUUACAAAUGCGGUAAAAACAAGGAUCUCAUGAACAUUACCGACGAUGUUGAUAAGUCUAAUAGUCAACUCUUGAAUUAGUUCCUCAAUGUUAUGUUCUUUUAGCCAACGACCGAUAACUUUGUCAGGAUCCUCUUCUUCGUCAAGUUGAAGAAUAGGAAAACUCAACUUAUAGUGUGUGUCGGUUUUGUUCAUUACCAUCAACAUUGUAAGAUCUUUGACCUGGGUUCGACAUUUUGAUACCGAACGGUCUGUAUAUGAAACAUCCGCAUAUGCCAGACAUUGGGCCGAUUCAACACUUUCAUCAGGAACAACAUAUUUUUUAUAUAUGUCGAUAUCGUCAUCGCCAAUUAUAUCAUUAUUGUUAUUUUCGUCUAGCCUGUUUUUUUUAAUUUGAUUUAUCGCAUCUUCUUUUAAUAUUGUUUGUAUAUGUUCGCCAUCCAAUAUAUCUGUACAUGGCGUACAUAUAUUGUGUUUGAUAUAGAUUGAUUUAUUCGGGGUUUUUUCUAAAUUAUAUGGUUUGUUUGGUUUAUUUUUUAUAGACGCAUUUAAACCCCCAGUUAUGUCAAAAUUAAGUUUAUCGGCUAUUUUACCAAUAAUAUCAGCAUUGCCCAAAAAGAUGAGAUACAUGAAAUCGGCGGCUAUUAUUUUUGUUGUUUCUCCACUGUCCAUUCUAUUCUAUUAUAUUCUAUUAUAUAUCCACAUUAUAAUGAUUUAAAAUUAUUAGUAUUGGGUUCUAAAUAACACGUUAAAAUUUUGAAUUUAUAACACAUUAAUGCUAACUCUUAUAAAUAAUAAAACACGAUACCAUUUAAACAAUAAACCAGUUUAUUAUUCUUACAUGUCAUCCUCGGAACAAAAUUCAACAACUCAGUCAGUCGAGUCAAAUGGACCUAUUGAGUAUGAGCACAUCGAGCCUGCUAAAUUAGUUAAAUCUAAAAUUGCGCAACCUGACGCAAAACAAAUCAUGCCAAACAUGAAAAAAGUGAGCUAUGAUAAUAUCGGCCUUGAUGUCGUGUUAUUUAACAGAACAUUUACAAGAAAUAAGGGAACUCUUUCACAGGUUGUUAAAAGUCUUUCAGAUAUGCACGACCGACUCGCUGAUCCAAUUAAUGAUUAUCAAAAAGGUUUAUAUCCUCAAAUUCGCCAAGAGUGUGUAAGUCUUGUCAAAGCAUACGAAGAUAUUGUGGGCAAGGUUGAUAAAUCGGAUUAUAAUAUAUUUGGAUAUUAUUUAAACGGACCCCAAAAUAACGGAAAACGUCGAGCUACCGCAAUAAAACAUGAGCUAAAAAGUUAUGGUGUAAGUGAAUAUCAAGAAACCAUCAGAACUAUUGACGAUCGUCUUAAACACAUCAAAUCUAACUGCCUUCGAAAAACUUUUGACACAAUCGGAUCAGAUUCAGAUUCAGGUUCGGGGCAAGAGAUUUAUAAACGAGUCAUAGAAUUUUGCGACGAAUUUCACAAAAUCAUUACAACGCAUCACGCGCAAUGGAAAAUAUUUAUGGAAAAUUAUCGCAGUACCAAUGGAAUCACAACCAAUGUUUUUAACAAUCUUAAAAAAAACGAAAAUAAAAGGCGUGACUUAGCAAACAAAAAUCCCAAAUUCCACAAAAACAGUGGCGACCCUAAUUUAGGCACAAAAAUGAAAAACACCAACACGGCAUCUAACUAAACGUUUUUUUAUUAAAAAACACUAGGGUGACAUAAAUUAUAUUGUCAAUAUGCAUUCUUUUUUUAUUUAAUUUAUCUAAAAUGAAAAUGAAACGGUUAUUUAAGAAGAAAUAUUUUUAAAUUACCCGCGUGUUUAUUUUAAUUAAUUUAACAUAAUUUGUCAAAAAAUAGAAAAAACACAUUAAAACAAAAAUUUUAGUAAAAUGACUAUAAGUUGGUAAAAUAACUGGUAUAACUAAUUAACCAUCAUGUAAAAAUUUGAACAUUUGUUUGGUUUAUAAAAUACAGUACGCAAAUUCAAUUAAGAAUACAAAUGCAAAUACAAAUGCAAAUACAAAUACAAAUGCAAAUGCAACUUUAAUAGACGCAAUAGUAAAAAAUGGGAGAUAAUAUUAAAAAAAUGUCAAAUAUCAUAGUACAUUCAGGGAUAAUGCAUACAGAGGAAAUGAAAAUCAUAUUAUAUAAAUUAGGUAACAAUUUGACAGUUGAAAAUGCAAAAUAUAUUAUAAAUUAUAUGGAUCUUCAACCAAAAGAAUAUGCUGUGUUAAUUAAUAGGGAAUACAGAAUUGACGGAUUCCACCUAAUUGAUAAUUUGUAUAAAAAACAUUUUAUUAAGGGGGAUGAUUAUGUCUUCGGCUUGUUUUUUAGCAUUUUAGAAGGAUUCAUUAACAGAGAUUUGGCCAUAUCCACUAUCCAGUUAAUUAUGGAAUUGAUUAACAAACACAAUAUGAAAAAAAAUGAUCAGGUGUGUCCGUGUCCGAAUGACUCGGUGCAAUCAAUUGGUAAAAAAUUACACGCAUUUCAUCAAAUAACUGGACAGCAAGUAAAAAACAAAGACCAAUGUGCGAUAUGUAAUGAAACAUACCCGGGGAACUGCGCAAUUAUUGGUAUUGGUGUUAAAUUGUUUUGGGUCAUAUGCGGUGAUUGUUUUUCGUCUGGUGACGCAAAAAAAUGUUUAAUUAAAUACUUUGUUGACAAAAAAAUUAUUCCGCUUUUAUGGAUAAAAGAGGACACGAAGCUGGCAUUUUAUUGCGACCACGUGUUUGGAUUUUAUAAUGGAUUUCUUGAUUUCGACAUAAUCGCGAUUACUUGUGAAAAUCCAAAGGGGGAAUAUUUCAUAAAUUUGAGUUUUAGGGAUUCAAACGGCAAAAUACAAAAAAGGCGUGUUUCAGUCGAAAACGUAUUUACUAACAAUCCGCAGUUUUACGAAAAUUUGGUCAACUGUGAAAACAUUCUGGGUAACGAACUAAUUAAUAUCGGAUAUAAUGACCUUUCCGAAGAACUUCGUAAAGAAUUUCGCGACAUUGAUAGCAAUGUUAAAGGUAAAGCCUGUGAUUUUUUUAAACAUUAGUUAUUAUUUUUUUAAUAAAUAACGGAUUUUUUUCCAAUACACUAAUUAUUUUGACCCACCACCCGUUGACGAUGAUGAUGAUGAUGAUGAUGCGGCAGUUGUUGCAGAAAGCGCCGGGCCACAACAUAUAGAAAAAAUGCAACAACAAAUAACAAUUACACAAAUCGCGCAAAUCCAUAUUGAAACACCAGAUCCACUUCCACAACCGGGGCACGGGCAUGACGGACAUCCGGUGAUACCGACUGAUUCAGCAACUCCCGAAACAACGUUUUUCAUAUAGUUUGCCGCUUCGCCGGUUGUUUCGUUUUUUACAACCACGUUCAUUGCAUUACCUGCAUCAUUUAUAAUUUUUUGAACUGUGCCUGAAUUAUUUACACAUUUAACAACCGAAGAUAUACUUGCAUUUUGUUCCAGAUUUUUAACAUUUAGACUUCCAUCAGCCUCACAUUUUGAAAAGUCUUGCCUUUGGUCAAUUGCGGCUCUAUUAAUACAUUCUUGAAUCGACUCAACAUUAAAGUUUGCUUGGACACUGUUUGCUAUAACAUUUUGAAUAUGCUGAUUAGUGUCAUUAACAACUUUUAAAUUAUAUUUGUUAUUGACAUUUGUUUUUGUUUUCGUUGGACUGCCGAAUAUCCCUGAUGAUUUAGCGAUAUUUUCUGCUAUAGUAUUCAUAUCGCUAAGGGAUUUUGCAUUCAUUUUACUUUGUAAAUCAUUGGCUAACUCUGAAAGCAGAGAUUGUGCCAUUUCUUGUUCUGCUUUAAAUGCAUUAAUACAACUAAAGUCAACGGUUAUAAUUGCCGAUUGUUUAACCCCGUCAAUAUUAAUAUCUCCGCCAACUUUACAUCCAUGAAAAUCUAUAUUUUGGUUAAUUUCAUUGAUAGCACUACACGUCGCGCCAUUUUUUAUUAGGGCAUUUGCAACAGCCUCAUUAGAAUUUUUGUUAAGAAUAUCAACUGUUGAUUUGUUUAUAAAUGUUUGAUUUGUCGUAUUAUUGGUGGAAGAUUUAGAACUUCUAUUUCCCAUAUUAUAUUUCGUUUAUAAAUUAUUUUAAAUUAUAAUUAAAAUGGAUUUAAUUGUACGGAUGUGACUUCAAAAUUGAUAAGUCUGGCGUCAGAGUAAUCAAUACCGUUAAUAUAUUUUUUUCCUAUACAUGCCGAUUCCGGUGAAUCUAGUCUGGUCGAGUUACAUUGUUUAUAAUCGUCGGGUAUAAUCCCUAUCGGGUAAAACCUCGGUUUAUUAUUGUAAAUGCUUUUUGGUUUUGAUUCUGACUUUAAAUCGACAUGUUGAUCUGCGUUGAUAUUAAUUACCCCAGGUAUUGCGUUUUUUUCGUUUAAUGAAGGAUCAGUAUAUCCGUCAAAUCUAGCCAGCCAACAUUUUAUAUUAUUAUACGGAACAUUAUUAUCGUCUUUAAAGUCCCCAUAUAUGUAGAGAUUGACAACCGGAUCCAAAUGAACAAUAUUAGUGUUGUUAUUUCCAUAAUACAAAAACGUGUCAUCAAAUUUACUUAAUAUGUCGUUUACACUUACACUUACACUUAACAUGUUAUUUUUAUUUGGCAUAUUUACACUGUAUAUCUGGUCAAUUGGUGGAGUAACCGUAAAAGCAUAUAUAUCGGAGUAUUUUGUAUUAGAAGAAUUUUGUAUUCCGCAUACAAACUUUUUAUCGUUUUCUAUCUUUGACAUUUUUGUUGUAAUUUUUGGUUUUGUUAUACUAUCAACAUCAUAUACCGAUUCUAGACGUUCCCUUAAAAUGGUAAACAGCGAAAAGUUUCUUGUUAAAUCUAUAAUGUAGGGAACUUCUGAGGGCAGUUUUUUUAUAUUAAAUGUUUGUUCUUUUGUUAUGCCAGCCAGUAUAUAACACGGUUUUUCAGUAUUUAACAUGUCGUGUUUUAAUUCCAAUUCUGAUUCUGAUUCUAACUCCGGUUCUGAUUCCGACUCUGUCUUUGUUGACGUUAAUGUUGAUAUUGGUAUUGUUGGGAGAACAUCAAAAAUAGAGAUUCCAACAACAUUACUUGUGGGUGCCUUUCUAACCAUAGAUAAAUGGUGAAUAUAUCUUGGGAGAAUUGUUUGUUUGAGUAUUUUUUGUACAUGGGUCUCGCUCUCUUUCUCGCCAUCGCUGCCAAUAGAAUUUGACUCUGUCUGAUUUGCGGAUUUGUCAUUGACAAUAUGAUUAGUUAAGUCCCCGUUUUUUGAUACAUGGUUGGUGUUUGUAAUAUUUAAAAUAUCGGUGACCACGGGUUUUGUUUUCCCAAUUAAAUCAGAUCCAUCAGUCAAAGAAGCAAUAAUAUUGCCAAACCCCUCGAUACCCUUUUGCAAAUUUUUUUGGGAAUUAUCUGCAGCAUUAAGAGUUUUGGUAACGGCCUUAGACACAUCUGCGUAAGAGCGACUUAUAAAAGACCUAUAUUCCUCGUCAAGUAAAUCCUCCCUAAUCAGAACAGGUACAACAUAGUUUGUUGAACCAUGGCCAUUACAGAUACCUGGUUUGUCCGAGUCAAUUUUUGCAAUUAAAUUUGUUUUUUUAUAUAACAAUUCUUGUUCAGUAAAGGAUUUCAUUACAAGAUAAUACUUAAUUCCAUCAAUAGUAGUUUUUAAGACCAAAAAUCUGUUAUCUGGAACAGUUAGGCUUUUAAACAAAUGCCCUGAUUCAACAUUGUUAAAGUUUUUGCCCAUAACAAUAGUUUUCAUAACAAAUGUCUGGUAAAACAUGUCAAAACUCAUUGUUUGGUUUUUUGUUUGAUCAACAUCUAAAUUCGUUGAAUUCAUUGAAUUAAUUGGACUUAUUAUGUCAAAGCGUUCCCUUAUUAGAUUUUCGAGUCUACUGCUAAUACCCACAUAAAUAAUGUACGAUGAAUAUAUAAUGACCGCAAUCGUUGUAAUCACAAUAAGUGGGUUUUCGUUAUAAAUGUUGAUAAAUCGUUCGCCACUAAAAAAGUCCGCUAAAUCGAUCUUGUUUAUUCUAAGAAGAAAAUACAAAAGUGUUAAUAAUAUUAGUGUUCCAACAACCGGGUUCUCUGUCAGAAGGUGAAACAACAAUAUUGCCUCCGGCUUGGGCACCCGACAAAUCGAUAAUUUGACUACAUAAUGUUACCGAACUGGGACAUUCACCCCUAGAUCUGUUAUCAAGAUAUACAGUGCCGUUGUCAUUAUUUGCGGUAUUGCAGUUUGUUGCCUUAAAACAUAGAGGACCGUAAUUCAAUGUUUGCGGAAUUGACGCAUCUGGGCUAAAACAUGCGCAUUCGGGUUUGUAUUGCGAAACAAAUUUUUUGUUGUCGGGUUUUUGGUUUGGAUAGGUUGAUGUAUAUUCGUCAUUAAAAAACGCUAGCAUAUUUGCACAAUACACUUCGUAAAAAUCAUCACAUGGACUAUUGUAUGUAGGAUCAUUUUUAACAGGUUUAAUGUAGUCAGCUUUGCCAUUAGCUGUUAAAAGGUUUUUGCAUAAUGACGAUGGAACAUUUACGACUUUGUCAAUAUAUCCAAACUUUUUAUUUAUGUCGGGAAUACCACUCAAAUAGUUCUUAGGAAUGGGUAUUCUGACAUUAACAUUAAAUUUGUCGGAAUUUGUUCCUCCUAAACAACACGCUCUCUUGAUCGUUGUAUUAGACAAAAUGUUAUCAAGAUUGUUUUUAACCUGGUCAUCUGUCGGAGUUCCUAAUUUAAACAGUCGGUUCCUCCAGUAAUUCAAUUGUUCAGGAGUUGUUAGAUUAUUUUUUAUUGACGCAUUUGCUAAGGCGUCAACUACUGUAUUAUUAGAAAAACCAAUACUUCCCAUAUUGACGUAUUUCGUUAUACAACAGAAACAUAAAUUAUUUGUAUUUUUAAUAUAAAUAUUCGUACUGUGUUAAUUUAAUAAAAAAACACAUGUCGUUUAUUUGUUAUAAUGAAAUCAAUAUUUGCAAAAAGAAAAUCGGAUUACAGGAGCGAUAAAAUCGUGUCAAAACAUCAUAAUAUCAUCGAAAAUUUUUCAAACAAUGAAAGCGAAACAAACAAAAUUAAUCUAUUGUUAGAAGAUAUCAAACAAUCUAUUCCACCAAAUUCAUGUAAAACGCCUUUAACUGAUAUUCAAAAUAACACAGAAUGGAGAUGGAGAUUUUAUGACAUAGAUGGACGUAAAAUGGUUGAAAUAAGUAAAAAAGAUCCAGGAAAACAAAGAGAGUUUAUUGAUAACACCGGAAAAUGGACAAACUUUUUUCUCGACACAACUUGGGAUAAAUAUAUUGUCGACACGUUGUAUUAUUAUGCUAGAUAUUAGCGAUUUUUAAAUAACGCCUCUGACUAUUUUAUGUAGUCGUUACAAUUGUGGUUACAAUUAGUGUUUGAGCAUACAUGGUCACAUGUAUCACAUUUAUUACAGUUUGACAUGACGCUUUCAAAAUCUGCGAAUGCGUCAUUUUCUUUUGGAUUAGAAAUAUUGGAAAUAACAGGCAUUGGCUCUUCUUCUGGUUUGUAAAGAUAUCUUCUAACCAUUAUUGUCAUUAAAAGUUUGUGUUUGUAAUGUUCUACUGGUACUAAAUUAAUAAAAUCCUCAGGUUUCAUGAAACGAAUGUCGUCAACUGUCAUGCCCUCUAAAUACACUUUACAGAUUUCACUAAAACGAUUGCUCUGUUCAUUUAUGAAAUCCAAAAAUUGUUUUGGAUCCUGAUCAAGUUGUUGUUGUAUCGGCUUUUUUACCAAUGAACUAGUCAUUCUUUUUUUAUAAGAAUUAAAAUUCAUUCGCAAUUAUUUUAUUAUAUUACAGGUUAAAAUAAUUACUGAAUGUUUUGUUGAUGCAUUUGUUAUAAAAAAAUUGAGUAAUUUUAAAAAACAUAGAAUGUGGAAAUAUAACUAUAAAAUUGUCCACAUUCAAAUCUAAAGAUAAUAAUAAAAGUUACGA